GUCGUUUGAUAAUGCCAAGCGGUUCUGUAUGCUUCGGACCAGUUCUAGAUCGCCUUCGCCGUCGGAACUCCAUUCGUCGGCGGCGGUAGCCGAAGGUGCGGCGGCGUCGGGCAAGUGGUGAUAGUCGGUUUUUUCGAGGUCGUCGGCGUCGGUGCGGAUGAUCAUACAGGCUCUCCUUAGGGCUUCCAUGUCCUCAUCAAAAGCGUCGUCGUUUUCGCUGCCGGAGAAUUCUUCUCCGUCGUCAUAAUCGUUGCGGUGAGACAUUGUUUCAGUACUCUCCGAAAAAUUUAUUAAAAAAAUUGAAUCUUUUUUUAGGGUUUAUUCAUUUAUCAAACAGAGUAACUGAAGUUAGAAAGAGAAAAGUGGCGGCAUGAUUGAAUCGUUUAUACGGUGGAGGGAGAAACGGUGGAGUCAAUUUAAUUGGAUCCGAUCAGACCACUAAACAUACAUGGGUUUGGGUUGGGCUUUCUCUUGACAAGGCUGGGCCAGACUGCCCCAUCUAUUAUUAUAGUUUUCUUUUUGCAAUUUUGAAGAUGGUAGCUAUUUUUCUUUCUUUUUCUAAUUGCAAAAAACCACCAUUGAGGUGGGGUUAUCUGGGACCUUUAUAUAUAAUAUAGAGCAUAAGAUGACGAAAUAUAUUUUGAGGGUGAAAUAAACCAAAACUAUCAAGCUCAAGAAAAGUUAAAAAGAAAUUAACUUCAAAGGUAAUAUAAAUAAAAAGAUAACAAAACAACUGAUUACCUGACAUAACAAAUUUUUUUCACAUCUAAAGAAAUAAUGCCAGAUAACUUUGAAGAAGAUCAUGAGAACCAGUAAGACACUGGCUAAGCUAAGAAGUCGAAGCUUAGUUGGGCAUCAAAUCUGCAGCAUAAUUAGCCUUCCUAAGCGCAUGCCUUCUAAAUAGAAGAAGAAAAAUUCACAAAAUGAAUUCAUGCUAAUAAAUAAGCAUAAUCCCGAUGACCAAGCCAUGGGAAUUGGGAAGAUAUCCAAACAAACACAUUAGCUGAAUCAAACUCCACCUCUAGACUAAUAAAACCUAGUUGAGUAAUAAACUUCAACCCCUCACAAACAGUUAUCAAUUUAGCAAAAAGAAUCUGUUGGUGUAUAAGAUAAUGAACAAAGACAACAAAAAUCAAAUCUUUAUAAUCAUGAAAAAAUAUCACCAUCGGUAGCCAUACUAAGAUUGUCCCUAAAACAAUCACCCACAUUUAACUUCAUUAUCCCAUGCAACAGCCUCAACCGAGAAAUGAACCAAAUAGGCGUACACGAUGGCACAACGACUCUCAAACCCCUCAUAAUAUGAUGUUAACAAAAACAAUUAGAUAACAAUUAAGAACAGUAGGUAAUUUACGUGAAAUUAAUUGGUAACAGAAUUAAGCAGCAGCAAAAAAAAAAAAACUGGAAUUUAAAAGAAAAAAAACAAGAACAACUGGAAAUUAACGAAACAGAGGAAAUAAACCCGAUGCCCGAACACAGUGUCCUUAAAACAGAUUUACCACCUACUGUAGUGCUUUAGGUUUGCUGGUAACUAUUUCCCAGGAUACAACGGGUACGAAUUAUCCGUCAAGCACAGACAUAUAAUUCUGGUGAACCAUAACAGCGUACAAACUCGAUUAGAAACAGGACGUCAGAAGGAGGAAAGAAAUUUUUGUAAGUGCUAUGUGUGCUAGUUGCUCUCGUGUGUCCAAAAUAGAAGAGGAAGCUGCCUUUUUAUACACAUGUGAGUAUGUAAUAGUAGCAUAAUAUUGAAUUUAUGAAUUCAAUAUAUGUGAUUUAUUGUUGUAACAGCCAAAUGAAUAAAAACAAUUCAAUUCAGUCUUUUGAAUUCAAAUUUGAAUUGCAUAACAGCCCAAAAAUAAUUGCGAAGCUGUUAUGCAAGCCUGGGUGAUUUUGGGUUGACAUUCGCGUACGCAGGAUGCGCAGGCGUACACGAGUUCAACCAAAUCGGUUUUGGAUUCGCACCCCCCCUGUGCACGCGCUUGUGACAAAAGUAACUGUUUUUACAUUAUUUCUAUAUACAGACACAAUCAAAAUUAUUCAAAAUUAGAAACUUACCGGCUGAAUCAUACGCUGAAAAGCGCUUCUGAAUCACAUGAAGAGUCUCGAAGUCAUCCUCUUCGUCGUCGUCCGAAACAACUGGCGGAAGAGUACACAGAGCCUCCAGAGACAGCGGCUGGCACAAGUCGUUUGAUAAUGCCAAGCGGUUCUGUAUGCUUCGGACCAGUUCUAGAUCGCCUUCGCCGUCGGAACUCCAUUCGUCGGCGGCGGUAGCCGAAGGUGCGGCGGCGUCGGGCAAGUGGUGAUAGUCGGUUUUUUCGAGGUCGUCGGCGUCGGUGCGGAUGAUCAUACAGGCUCUCCUUAGGGCUUCCAUGUCCUCAUCAAAAGCGUCGUCGUUUUCGCUGCCGGAGAAUUCUUCUCCGUCGUCAUAAUCGUUGCGGUGAGACAUUGUUUCAGUACUCUCCGAAAAA
rnacentral:lncRNA from 1 species